rnacentral:lncRNA from 1 species
AGUUCCCUACUGAUGGUUCCCUUACAUUAAGGCAAAAAGAAAUCCACAGUAUUAUGAGCUGAGCUUCUGAAUUAAGUACACUUUCCAAAAUAAAGUAGUGCUGGAGUAUCUCGGUAACAAUGCUACUCAUUAGUGUCAUGACUGAAGUAGUAUCUCACUGGAGGGCCGGGCAAAUCUUCAUCUCCAUCAGCGUCUGGGGCAAAUGACACAGUAAGAUCCACAUAUUUCUUCUCAGUGGAAGGCUUCACAAGUUUGUGCAUUCUAAGAAUAAGCAAAGAUAAGUACUUUGGUGACUUGAUUAAAUGAAAGAACUUUUUGUUACUUUGUACUAGUCAGAGAUUGAACUUGCAUAUAUACUUUAAAAUAUGAAUAAUUUGCCUAUUCUUAUACAUUAAUUUUUCCUUACUAAAAGCUCCAAAUUGAAAGCAUGUAUCUAAUAGGACGUCCUCUGGUCAUGACAAAAAAGAAACAAAAAUCCCAAAGAGUAAUGCAGUGAUUCUUCCUUCACUGCCAAGUUUAGAGACAUAAUGGAUCUUCUAGCAUUUUUUUUUAAGAGAAAAAAAAAAGUAAGUUCAUUAAAAUCUUAAAAUACAAACUGCGCAGCCUAUUCUUUAUUUUAUUGAUUUGUGCCAGGGAUGGGGGGUAGGAGGGGAGCCGCUGUAGUGUCCUCUCUGAGAGGAGAUAAGGAGUCCUUGAGGGAAGAGUGAGUCAGAUGUGGUGGUGAUCAGUGGAAUCUUGCAGCUCUGACUGACUAGUGAUCAGGUUGCUUUUUCAGUUGUGCAGGUUUAGUAGAACAAAGACAGACUAAUGGUUAUCUGAGAAGUACAGAUGAUAUUACUUUGUCUCCAGACAUGUGAUUUUUUUCAUUUUGUGUCCAGGGUUACAAGUUCAGUUAUAAUUAGAAAGUACAAUUAGAAUAUGCUAUUUUUAUUUUUAGCCCUAUAACUCCAAUUCAAAGACUCUAAACACUGUCUCCAUGAAAGCAAGCACACUGUUACGUGAUAGCCUGCUUUUAAGCUGACAGUAUUUACAGUUUUAAACAGAUAAACAGAAAAUAACUGAACUGGUCUUUUCUACAAACAGCAAAUACUAACACCUAACUCCUUUUAUCAUCUAAGGUAUACAGUAGGAAAGGUUUUUUAGUCCAUCUAUCUUACUUACCAAGUUCUACUUCUCCAGGGGCAUACUCUGUAUGAUUCCUUAUCUUUAAACUAUACUUUUGGGGAGCUCUAGGUGUACUGUAAAAAGAGGCCUUACAUCUGUUACCAAGUCAACUGCCAGUUGGAGUUUGUCAGCUAUCUCUAAGCUUUCCCUGUUCUAGUUACACUGUUUCAGUUUGCUUAGGCCUCAAAAAGAAAUUCCUAACUUUGUGCUUCUCUGAGCGUAUCAUGAUCUCCACAGCAUAAGGAAGACUUCCAAAUAGGGCCAGAUAUAAUUAUUUCCCUAAAAGCAGGAGGGAUAGUGAGUUUAUGACUUCCCUAAAAGGACUCAGAUAUAAUUUUCUCAGGAAAAGACAUAAAAUGAAUCAUAACAGAAAGUCCCCCAAGAAUGCAGCAUGCAGAGACCAAAACCUAAAAGUUAGAGACAGAAAGACAGCAAUGACAGCAUUCCACUUUGCUUUGCUGGAACUGUGUCAAGUAGCUGUGCUGGCUGCAUGACUCUCACCACUUCCAUAUCUACGGCUAUGCAAGGUUUGGCUGCCAGGCUAUGAAUUAUGUUAUCUAUUUAACCCCCCAUGAUGCUCUUUCCAUUUUACAAAGGUACUUUGUUCCAUACAUAACUUCACUCUAAAAAGAGUGAAAUGGUAAAAACCAUUCAUAUCCAUAUCACCUGACUUUCCAAAGAGAUCAUGUGUAUUCUUUUUAUUUUUCAAUAUGCAUAAGCUGUUUGCUUUUGCCUCCUUGAAAUGCUCUAAGGAAAUCUAACCCAAAACAGAGGUUUGAUUUAACAAAGUCCAUGGUAUGAUGUCAUUAUAAUAAUGAUUUUAGUUACAGUCUGAAUUAAUAAUUAAUGUGCCAGUUUCUUUGAGUAGACUAUUUGCUAUCAGGGAUGUUUGUAUAAUAACAAAUAGUAAGAACUAAAAGUUAUGAAAUAUUCCUCCUGUGCUAUUACAUUUUUAGGGCGUACUAAUACUUACUAAUACUUUAACACUAAAUAGCUAUGGGAACAAUCAUGGAAUAGAAUUUAUAUUUCAAAGCUACUCAAGGAAACAAAACUUAAUAAAUAACCACCUAAGCCUGCGAGCAUCAGUCUUUAUAAAAAGUCUUAAUCCAUUGAUCUCAUUCACUAUUCUAAAGUGUCCAGUCACUUAGGUAAUCAAUAAAUACCUGCUAAAUUAGGGAUCACACACUGGCCAACUCUCAUGUUACUUUGCAGCAAAUUUAAAAUUACUAACCAAUUCAUAACCAUACAUUUCACUUACAUCUAGGUGGCAGACAUCAUAAGAACUCUAAAUACAGCUCUUAAGUUCUCUAGAUGAUAUUUAGGAGUCUUAAUAAAAGCAACUAUAAGACAAAUUAAUGCUUACUAAUAUAACCAUUUUUAAGGUGAAGAUGAUUAAGAUAAUUAUAGUAUAUGUGAUUAACUUCAACUGAUAACCAAAAGUUGAGAGUUAUGUUAAAGAAAAUAACUUUGAGAGUAUAAAAGAAAAUAAUACUGCAUAGGUAGUAUGAAUGUUUUUACUCAUGGCUAUCUUGUGCCAGGCAUUGGUCUAACUGAUUGAGAUACAACAAUGAAGAAAUCUAAUAAAGAUUUAUAUCCUGUGAAAGCUAGUUUGUAGUGAGAGGGGAGAAUAUAAUGACAGAAAUAACAAUACAGGCAAAACAUGCUGUAGCUAUUACAUAAUGGAAAGUGCUAUGAAGAAAGAGGUAUAGGAGAGCUUAGGGAAGGUAAGUGUUUGCUAUGCUGCAAGCACGAAGAUGUGAGUUUGGUCCCUAGACACCAC